CAGCAUGUCUGCAGUGUUGAACGUGGCAGAGAAAAUCAGGACUGAGAUCAGACGCCGUUCAGCUCUGGAGCCUCAAUCUGCUCUGCAAACAAAGAUCCAUGGUUCAGUCUGGAUCUUCCUCACCUGAAGCUGACUGGGAGUCCUGGAGGAUGAAGACGAAGAUGACGAAGACCCUGAGUAACAUGGUUGAUUUCAUCAGAACGCUACCAUCGCUCUUCUAAAGUCUGGAGCAGAGUGGAGCUGCAGUUCAUCAGAACCGAGCCGUUGGAUCCUGACCAACUCUACCAGAGCAACAAUAAGAUGAAGAGGAGCAGAAGGAAGAAGAAGGAGCAGGACUGACCUC